UAUCAUACUGCCGUUGUAGUAUCGCUUUCUGGAAUUGUAGCUGCUUUCAUCAUUGGGUUAUUAACCUGCUAUGUGAAGCAGAAACAACUGCGUCCUCAGUUCUCUUCCAUUCAGACCCUCACAAACUAUUCUGAUGACCUAAGCAUAAUAUACAAUCCCAG